GAAAGGGAAAUCACGUUCCUUGUAUCUUAGGGAUGCGCGCACGCGGCCUCUAUACGCCACCUUGCACGCUCCCGCUUGUUACUGCUCUUUGAACAGGAGAAAAAAAAUUGGUAAAAAAAAAAAAAACUGGCAUAAUAAGAGAUUGCAAUACAUUUAGGAAACUACUGGACAUAGUUUGUGGCAUCAUGAAGGACCGUACACACGAACUUAGACAGGGCAAGGAAUCUGAGGAGGAAGAUGUGACCAUAGAGAAAGGAUUCAUGGAUGAGUUCUUUGAGCAGGUGGAGGAAAUCCGCGGCUUCAUCGACUCCCUCGCUGAGAAGGUGGAGGAGGUAAAGAGGAAACACAGCGCUAUUCUUGCAGCACCAAACCCAGAUGAGAAAACAAAGGCGGAGCUGGAGGAGCUGAUGACGGACAUUAAGAAGUUGGCCAAUAAAGUGCGCUCCAAGUUAAAGAGUAUCCAACAGACCAUCGAGCAAGAGGAGGGCCUAAACCGCUCAUCCGCCGACCUGAGGAUACGGAAGACGCAGCACUCCACCCUGUCCCGUAAGUUCGUGGAGGUGAUGUCAGAGUACAACGCCACACAGUCAGACUACAGGGAGCGCUGCAAGGGUCGGAUCCAGAGACAGCUGGAGAUCACCGGGAGGAACACAACAAACGAGGAGCUGGAGAGCAUGUUGGAAAGUGACAACCCAGCCAUUUUCACUUCGGGGAUCAUAAUGGACUCCAACAUCACUCAGCAGGCCAUGAACGAGAUCGAGACCAGACACAACGAGAUUAUUAAAUUGGAGAACAGCAUCCGUGAGCUCCACGACAUGUUUAUGGAUAUGGCCAUGCUGGUGGAGAGCCAGCUACAGGGCUCUGUGCCCUAGCCACUCUUUCCACUAACAGAUGGGCUCACAGUAGGAGAGGGAUUUGUCACACAGCUACCUCAUCGCCAUGGCAGCGCACGUACACGUACACUCACAGACACACACACACACACAGACGCACACAUAGACACACGCGUGCGCGCGCACACAAACAGACACGCAUACACGCUAAGAGAUUGCACUUGCUAACUCAUGUCUGUACACACAUGCUGAAUCACUCAGGUAAACAUGACAGAGUGUCUGAAAGUUACUGAAAAAUAUUUUACCUUUCACAGAAUGCAUUUUCAGUGGUGAUAAACUAGUAAAUUACAAUCCUGAGCAUAGAUUAUAAUGCACGUAUACUUCAUUUUUUUUUAAUGUAAAUUUGUUUCUAUAUGUGUGUAUAUGAAUUGUAUAUAUAUUUAUAUAUAUGUGACAUAGUUUGCUUGCUUAUUUGUACAGAAAACUGCAAAACACAUUUGAAAUGCAUAUCUGAGUCAGUGAGACAAAUUGAAUGGAUUUUAUGUGUGAGUUGAGUCUGGACUGAUUUUGAAAGGGUUCUCUUGGGAGAUGAUCAUGAAUAAGGUGCAUGAAUUAUUCAGAGGAGUAAAUGUGAGAAAUCUUCUCAUAGAGUGAGAGUAUAUUAACACGAAUUCAUUUGAUUUAAUAAUUAAUCUGACUAACCCCACAUUCUUCAUUAAUGAAUCCUGAGCACUCCACAGUGUCCAUGUUUCGCUUGGCCUUUUUCUGCAUUCUCUCUGCCUCUCUCCUUUUUUGUCUAUCUCGCUCCUUUUCUUUUUCCUAUUUCUGUUUCUCCCCACUGCACUCUGCCUUUUCCUCCGUCCCUUCUACCUCUCUCUCUCUCUCUCUCUGUCUCUCUCUGUGCCUCUCUCGCUUUCUCUCUCACUAUAACAGGCUCUUUGCAGUUUGCAGUGAAUUUGAGGUCAGCACUAAUCUCCCAAGGGGGAGCUGGUGAACAACAUUGAGAAGAAUGUGCGCAG